rnacentral:rRNA from 1 species
GACGAACGCUGGCGGCGUGCCUAACACAUGCAAGUCGAGCGGAGCCAUCUAAAUGAUCCCUUCGGGGUGAUUUUGGGGAAGCUUAGCGGCGGACGGGUGAGUAACGCGUGAGUAACCUGCCCAUAAGAGGGGAAUAACACAGCGAAAGUUGUGCUAAUACCGCAUAAUGUAUCUUUACCGCAUGAUAGAGAUACCAAAGAUUUAUCGCUUAUGGAUGGACUCGCGUCUGAUUAGAUAGUUGGUGAGGUAACGGCUCACCAAGUCGACGAUCAGUAGCCGAACUGAGAGGUUGAUCGGCCACAUUGGGACUGAGACACGGCCCAGACUCCUACGGGAGGCAGCAGUGGGGAAUAUUGCGCAAUGGGGGCAACCCUGACGCAGCAACGCCGCGUGAAGGAUGAAGGUCUUCGGAUUGUAAACUUUUGCUUUAGGGACGAAAAAGGACGGUACCUAAGGAGGAAGCCACGGCUAACUACGUGCCAGCAGCCGCGGU